UCCGGAGGGGGCUAGCGUUGUUCGGAAUUACUGGGCGUAAAGCGCACGUAGGCGGCUUUGUAAGUUAGAGGUGAAAGCCCAGGGCUCAACCCUGGAAUUGCCUUUAAGACUGCAUCGCUUGAAUCAUGGAGAGGUGAGUGGAAUUCCGAGUGUAGAGGUGAAAUUCGUAGAUAUUCGGAAGAACACCAGUGGCGAAGGCGACUCACUGGACAUGUAUUGACGCUGAGGUGCGAAAGCGUGGGGAGCAAACAGG
rnacentral:rRNA from 1 species